GCACAAGCGGUGGAGUAUGUGGUUUAAUUCGACGCAACGCGCAGAACCUUACCUGGUCUUGACAUCCCGGGAAUCUUGUGGAAACACGAGAGUGCCUCGCAAGAGGAGCCUGGAGACAGGUGCUGCAUGGCUGUCGUCAGCCCGUGUCGUGAGAUGUUGGGUUAGGUCCCGCAACGAGCGCAACCCCUAUCUUUAGUUGCCAUCAUUGAGUUGGGCACUCUAAAGAGACUGCCGGUGUCAAACCGGAGGAAGGUGGGGAUGACGUCAAGUCCUCAUGGCCUUUAUGACCAGGGCUACACACGUACUACAAUGGCCGGUACAAAGGGCAGCGACACAGCGAUGUGAAGCGAAUCCCGAAAAGCCGGUCUCAGUCCGGAUUGGAGUCUGCAACUCGACUCCAUGAAGUUGGAAUCGCUAGUAAUCGCGGAUCAGCACGCCGCGGUGAAUACGUUCCCGGGCCUU
rnacentral:rRNA from 1 species